rnacentral:lncRNA from 10 species
GACAGUGCAACACAGCAGAAGUCACAACCAGCAGCCAGGUCCAUCUCUGGGUAUGAAAAUGCCUUACCCAGGGACAAACUGACAAGCGUCACACUCUUACAUUUACACUUUAGUCCUCAGUACUGAAACAAUGCAGCCUAACAGUUUAAGGAACAGUGACGAUAAUUUUCAUGCUGACCCAGUUCAAGGCCACAGAGCCUCAGAGAGGUUCCUUACCCUGUGAGGUCAUCUGUGGUAACGCUGGAUGGGCCGGAUGAAGAGAGGGCUGGACGGACGGAGUCACCACAGGCUGCCCACCUCCUUGCAGAGUGUUCACAUCCUGAAACAGGAACAAGCGUUUGGGUUACUCUGUACGGGGUCCCUCAUUGAAGACUGAGGCUGACUGUCUGCCCUAAACCUGCUUCCAACACAGGAUUUCUAGGCAAAGAAGAGGAAGGAAAGGUAAGCGGAAGGCCAAGAGUUGAGGGUGUGGGUUGUGGAGAAAAAGCACUCUGCUAUGCAAUAAAGUAAGAGUCCUU